GAUGAAGAACGUAGCGAAAUGCGAUAAGUAAUGUGAAUUGCAGAAUUCAGUGAAUCAUCGAAUCUUUGAACGCACAUUGCGCCCCCCAGUAUUCUGGCGGGCAUGCCUGUUCGAGCGUCAUUUCAACCAUCAAGCCCUGCUUGUGUUGGGGUCCUGCGGCUGCCCGCAGGCCCUGAAAACCAGUGGCGGGCUCGCUAGUCACACCGAGCGCAGUAGCACAUCUCGCUCAGGGCGUGCGGCGGGCUCCAGCCGUUAAAGCACCCACCUUUCGCAAGGUUGACCUCGGAUCAGGUAGGAAUACCCGCUGAACUUAAGCCUAUCAAUAAGCGGAGGA
rnacentral:misc_RNA from 1 species